rnacentral:rRNA from 1 species
UACAGAGGUCUCAAGCGUUUGUUCGGAUUCAUUGGGCGUAAAGGGUGCGUAGGCGGCCUCAGGUGUCGGAUGUGAAAGCCCGGGGCUCAACCCCGGAGGUGCAUCCGAAACUCUGGGGCUGGAGGUCGGAAGAGGAGGGUGGAAUACCCAGUGUAGAGGUGAAAUUCGUAGAUAUUGGGUGGAACACCGUGUGGCGAAAGCGGC